ACGAAGGGUGCAAGCGUUAAUCGGAAUUACUGGGCGUAAAGGGUGCGUAGGCGGUUAGUUAAGUCUGUUGUGAAAUCCCCGGGCUCAACCUGGGAAUGGCAAUGGAUACUGGCAGGCUAGAGUGCGGUAGAGGGUAGUGGAAUUCCCGGUGUAGCAGUGAAAUGCGUAGAGAUCGGGAGGAACACCAGUGGCGAAGGCGACUACCUGGACCAGCACUGACACUGAGGCACGAAAGCGUGGGGAGCAAACAGGA
rnacentral:rRNA from 1 species